UACGGAGGUGGCAAGCGUUGUUCGGAAUUACUGGGCGUAAAGGGCGCGUAGGCGGCUAGGCAAGUCAGGCGUGAAAGCCCCGAGCUUAACUCGGGAACUGCAUCUGAAACUGCUGGGCUUGAGUUCUGGAGGGGGUAGUGGAAUUCCCAGUGUAGCGGUGAAAUGCGUAGAUAUUGGGAGGAACACCUGCGGCGAAGGCGGCUACCUGGACAGAAACUGACGCUGAGGCGCGAAAGCUAGGGGAGCGAACGGG
rnacentral:rRNA from 1 species